ACAGACUGUUGGCCAAAAAAGAUUUGGGGGGAAAUAGCUCUAGAGAAGGAUUGAGAUGAAAAUGAUAAUUUAUACAGGUUGUUCUUUCUUUAGUACCAAUGAAUAACUUGGUUACACGAUAUACUUGAAGACUGUAGUAGGAACAAAAUGCUUGGCAGACCAAACUAAUUAGCUUUGAAGUUUCCUGGAGACAGAGUACUCUUGCAUCAUUAUGUGCAACCCACAGGGAUCUCGCUCGGUGAGACAUGCACACCUAUGCCACAUCUUUACAUCUCAGUUUUCACAUCCUUCCCAGGUUUCACAAAAACAUAAACAUAUGCUUGGAUGGGUGUCCUUGCCUGCGACCUUGCUGUCUCCAACCUAUCCACAGGU